rnacentral:rRNA from 1 species
AGGAUGCGAGCGUUAUCCGGAUUUAUUGGGUUUAAAGGGUGCGUAGGCGGAAUGCCAAGUCAGCGGUAAAAUCGCGGGGCUCAACCUCGCUCCGCCGUUGAAACUGGCGUUCUUGAGUGGGCGAGAAGUAUGCGGAAUGCGUGGUGUAGCGGUGAAAUGCAUAGAUAUCACGCAGAACUCCGAUUGCGAAGGCAGCAUACCGGCGCCCAACUGACGCUGAAGCACGAAAGCGUGGGUAUCGAACAGGAUUAGAUACCCUGGUAGUCCACGCAGUAAACGAUGAAUACUAGCUGUUCGGGGCAAUUGGGCCUUGAGUGGCACAGCGAAAGCGUUAAGUAUCCCACCUGGGGAGUACGCCGGCAACGGUG